UACGGGGGGGGCAAGCGUUGUUCGGAAUUAUUGGGCGUAAAGAGCUCGUAGGCGGUCUGUCGCGUCCGUUGUGAAAACUCGAGGCUCAACCUCGGGCUUGCAGUGGAUACGGGCAGACUAGAGUGCGGUAGGGGAGACUGGAAUUCCUGGUGUAGCGGUGGAAUGCGCAGAUAUCAGGAGGAACACCGAUGGCGAAGGCAGGUCUCUGGGCCGCAACUGACGCUGAGGAGCGAAAGCAUGGGGAGCGAACAGG
rnacentral:rRNA from 1 species